CUGAUCACGUGACCCAUCCCUCAGCCCGCCCCCUUCCCACGCAUGCGCACAGCGGCGCCCUGCUCAGGCCGGUGGGCAAGGCGCCGAGCACUUCCGGCCGGGCGGCGGGCGCUGCGGCUGGCACCAUGUCCUGCUCGCUGCUCCCCUUCUGCCACUUCCAGGACCUGGAGGCGGCCCGCGACUUCCUGUGCCCGUACCUCCGCCAGAGCGGCGCCGCGGCUGCCAGGGAGAGCGGUGGGAUGAAGAAAUGAAGUUUCUUGACACCGUAAAUGGCUACUUCUUGGAGCAGCUAGUCCUGGGACCUACAGUGGGAGAGACAAUUCCUGUGUUCCACAUAGGACUAAAUCAAUGUCUGGUCCAAGAGGUGAAUAUAGCUAAAGCAUGAGUAGAUAAAUCACCAAACUGGGAAGAUGAUGGCUGGGGAGCCUGGGAUGAAGCAGAAACACAAGAACC